CAAAAGCAUUAUUUUUUAUAUUUUAUUUUUAACAACUUUUUUGAAUGAUGAAAUUAUAAAAAUAAGAAAAUGAUGUGGGUAUAGAUAAAACAAAGGUUUAGUUGCUGAAAAAUUCAGGUUUGGUUACUCAUUCUUACAUGUUUUUAUGGAACUUCGACAUUUUAAAGUUGACACUAUCAACUGAAGUUUUUUGAGUUGCAAGGCUGUCCAGCAAUCUCUGACAAAAAAUAAGGGCUAAUUUUAGGGCUAAAAUUACGAAAAUUUAGGGUUAAAAUUAGGUAUUUCAAAACUAGAUUAGGACAGUUUUAGACAUUUUUAAAAUGGUCUUACUUGCGCAAUUUUGACAAUAAAGAAACUUUUUAAAAAAUACUCUCUGUUCACAAAGUUACAAGCAAUAAACAGCUUGACAUAUUGGUCAAAUUUAGUUUUCAAAAUUGUUAGAAUAGAAAUAUAUUUUUUUUAAAAUAGAAAUUGACAGGGAAAAUUUGGGCUUUUUUAGGAUUUUCCCUUGAAUUUAACAUUUUUAAGGAAUUUUAGCAAAACUGGGGGGAAAAUUGGAAUUUUUUUUAGAAAUUUUAGGUCCGCUGGACAGCCUGGAAUUAGAAACUUAAAACAGGUAUGAACUUUCGCAGAGUUUUCAUGUAGUUACACAUAAAAUCAUCUGAAAUAUUUUUGUUUUUGUUUCUCCUUUCUCCAAACUGGGUGGAAUAAAAAGCGUGUGAUUAUGCACACAAGCUAGUUAAUGGAAGAUACUUCUGUGUCACUAAAAACAUAUAAAAUUCAGUUUGUUGCUUCAUCACAGUACAAAAAUGAUUUCAUCUAAGAAGUUAAACUAUUGAAUGUUAAUUAUUGUUAAGCUACAUUUUCUAAUCCAUUUGAUGGUAGUAUGGUGUAUAAAUGGAGGAAUGUUGGGAAAUUGCAUCAUUCUUUAGGUCUUUGAUUUGAUCUAUUUGGAAAAUGGCCGCAAGGAAAUGCAAAAUUGUAGGUUCUUCUGAGAUUGCUAUGCUGUCAUCUUUUGUCUUCACAUCAUCUUAAGCCAUUUAAAACUUUUUUCAGAUUUCCUGACUUCCCUUCUCCAGUACAUGAUGAUAUUCACUAAAGGACCACCUUGUCAUUCUGGAUUUCAAGAUGAAAACAGAAUUCUUCAGUGAAUUCUUUGAAAAAUGUGAUGUUGUGAAACUAUGAUGUGUUAUGUAUUACAGUAAUUAAUCUUCAGUAACUUUGUCAUCUGACAGUGACUUUUUAUAGAGUGCAAAUUUAAUGUUAAUGAUGAGUAUUAUAUGUCAUUUACACUACUAACAUGAUUAAUAAACAUAUAGAAACUCAUUUCUUGUCUUUAUUCAAUGUCGCCCAUUAUAGGCUAUGAAAUACUCCUAAAUUUUUUUCUGGUAUGAAAUAGAAUUGAGUCAACUUCACCAAAAACAAUAUUUAAAGACAAAACAAUGAUUGUGCUGCAAUGUCAUCUAGACUGACUGAAAAGCAAUCUGCUGAAAUACAAUUUUCACAAUAUCAUAAUAGCUGAACAAAGCUAUGUUGUAAGCCUAUACAUCAUGCAAGAAAAAUCAGAGACAUGAUAUGUUGUAUAUGCCUCUUGAAUAAUAUACAUGGAAUAUAGAUCUACAGUAAACGUGUAUCAGUCGAUGCACGCGCACCAGGUUCCGACACAAAAUUUUGGUCCAGUAUGAGCCCUGGCCUGGGUUUGUGAAUUAAAUAUCCAAAUUGUAAACAAAGCUGGGAACUAAAUCGCCAAAAGAACGAGGUUAAAGAUAACGGCUAUUUUAAACACGAGAUACUAUUGAAAUACUUGAGGAUUUCAAUUAUCUGACCAAAUAUGCACGUUUUUAAUAGGAUGGACAAAGGCAAUCGGUGUUAGAGGCCCAGCGGCCGCGUUAUCAAACUUCCGUUAUAUAAGCCGUCUCCUGCAAAGAACGAUAACUCGUGCGUAGGGGCAAUAACCUUUACCGUAUUUCCGGUUGCAAGAACGUCGAGCCCUACUUUCGCUAUAGCCGCGCGCUAUUCUCUCGAGCCCUCUACAGACAAGAAAAUGUCGUGUGAGUCGUAGUCUACAUGCUGUACAAAUUUCAGGAGGAUGAAUGUUCACAGAGUCACUGUCAAUGUCAAUAUAAUAAAGGGAGGUGAUUGCAGCUUUGAAGUUUUCUUUGGGAUGAGACUUGGAAUUAAUGGGAAUUUUCACUCCACAGAGCCUACACAUACACUUUAACUUUAAUUCAUGCUCCAUUUCUGUAGAAAAAAUAAAGUUUUGAAUAGAU